UUAAAUGAAUUAGCGUUACAAGUGGGCUCUGACCGGUAAGCGGUCAUGGCGAAAUGGGAUGAACCAUACGUCUGAAUAAGGUGCCGAAAUGUACUAUCACUGAUACCAUAAAGGGAGUCCAUGUAUUUAGACAGCAGGUCGGUGCCCCUAAAAGCAGGUAUCCGCUAAAGAGUGUGUUAAAACUCACCUGCCGAAUACUAGGGCCCCGAAAAUGAAUGGCGCAUAUAGUACUACCGAUCUCAGACAUCAGUUCUAUUGAACUGAGAGUAGGGGGAUGUGGACAUUUUUGUGAAGGUGCAAUGUGAGUUGGACUGGAAGAAUGUCUAUUACAGAUCCUAAUUGAAGUAGCGAUUAUCCAGGCUUGUAUCCUGGGGGCUGAUGAGGAGUAGGGUUUCUGGACAACUUAAACAGAUCCAGAGUUAGUCGAUCCUAAUCUCAAUAAUGGGAGAAAGGGAGUACAGUUGAUAUUCUGUAACUGACAACAGUUCGCGGCAACGCAUACUAUUUUUCUCCGCCAAUCUUAUACCGUUGGUAGGGAUCUCUUUCCUACAUGACAGUACUAAUACCCAGGGAAACUGGUCAUCAGGCGAACUGCGGCGUUCUGCUGGCAAAACAUAGCUUCGGUUAUGUCAAUGGCUAUUGGAUUGGUCCAUGAAGCGAAAAAUAGUUUACUGUGUCACUCGUACCGAUAACCGCAUCAGGUCUUCUAGGUAAGUAGCCUAUGGCCAUUGAGGCAUGAUAGUUCAGGGAAUUCGGCCAAUUAGAGCUGUAACUUCGGGAUAAAGCUUGGCUCUGAUGAAAAUCAGAACCGAUUGUUACGCGGAGAGCCCAACUGUUUAAUAAAAACGUAGUGUCGCGCUGUGGUAGUAUAGCCAGUGAACGCGACAUGAAUCCUGCUCAGUGCUGUGUCUGUUAAUAUGGUUCAAGCCAACGAAGCACCGGUAAUAGCUGGGGUAACUAUGACUCUUAUCAAAGUAGCGAAAUACCUCGUC
rnacentral:ncRNA from 2 species